GUGGGCAUAGUUUAAACCAAACAUUAGACCGUGAACCUAAAAAUAGAAGAUAACCCCUUCUUGCCCACC
rnacentral:tRNA from 1 species